GCCGCAAAGAAGGGGCCGUAACUCAUGAUCCGGGCCUCCGAUUCCGUUUCCGUCGGGUCCCGCGGGACCAGGGUUCCGGGGGCAUCGAGAUGGGGGGGUAGCCGCGCGGCGGUUUGAACGCCGAAAAAUGAGCAUGUUCGGGGUGCGCUCAGUAGGUUUAGACGGUUUUGGGCGUAUCUCAUGAUCCGAGCAUCCGAUUCCGUUUCCGUCAGGUCCCACGGGACCAGGGGUCCGGGGGCAUCGGGAUGGGGGGGUAGCCGUGCGGCGGUUUGAACGCCGAAAAAUGGGCAUGAUCGGGGCGGUUUAGCCGGUUUGGCCGGUUUCGGCCCGCCGGGGGGCGGUUCAUGCCCCGGGGGGGACCGCGGGGCGGGAUCGGGAGGCGGCGGACGCGUUCGGUGGGGUUCGGGCGGGUGCGGCCGGAUGGGGGGUGGCCCGGGGGGCUAUAGCGCACGUCCUCCGCGUCCGCAAAGAAGGGGCCGUAACUCAUGAUCCGGGCCUCCGAUUCCGUUUCCGUCGGGUCCCGCGGGACCAGGGUUCCGGGGGCAUCGGGAUGGGGGGGUAGCCGCGCGGCGGUUUGAACGCCGAAAAAUGGGCAUGUUCGGGGUGCGCUCAGUAGGUUUAGACGGUUUUGGGCGUAUCUCAUGAUCCGAGCAUCCGAUUCCGUUUCUGUCAGGUCCCACGGGUUCAGGGGUCCGGGGGCAUGGGGAUGGGGGGGUAACCGCGCGGCGGUAUGAACGCCGAAAAACGGGCAUGAUCGGGGAGGUUUUGCCGGUUUGGCCGGUUUCGGCCCGCCGGCGGGCGGUUCAUUCCCCGGGGGGGACCACGGGGCGGGAUCGGGAGGCGGCGGACGCGUUCGGUGGGGUUCGGGCGGGUGCGGCCGGAUGGGGGGUGGCCCGGGGGGCUAUAGCGCACGUCCUCGGGGGCCGCAAAGAANNNNNNNNNNNNNNNNNNNNNNNNNNNNNNNNNNNNNNNNNNNNNNNNNNNNNNNNNNNNNNNNNNNNNNNNNNNNNNNNNNNNNNNNNNNNNNNNNNNNNNNNNNNNNNNNNNNNNNNNNNNNNNNNNNNNNNNNNNNNNNNNNNNNNNNNNNNNNNNNNNNNNNNNNNNNNNNNNNNNNNCCGAUUCCGUUUCCGUCAGGUCCCACGGGACCAGGGGUCCGGGGGCAUCGGGAUGGGGGGGUAGCCGCGCGGCGGUUUGAACGCCGAAAAACGGGCAUGAUCGGGGCGGUUUUGCCGGUUUGGCCGGUUUCGGCCCGCCGGGGGGCGGUUCAUGCCCCGGGGGGGACCGCGGGGCGGGAUCGGGAGGCGGCGGACGCGUUCGGUGGGGUUCGGGCGGGUGCGGCCGGAUGGGGGGUGGCCCGGGGGGCUAUACCGCACGUCCUCGGGGGCCGCAAAGAAGGGGCCGUAACUCAUGAUCCGGGCCUCCGAUUCCGUUUCCGUCGGGUCCCGCGGGACCAGGGUUCCGGGGGCAUCGGGAUGGGGGGGUAGCCGCGCGGCGGUUUGAACGCCGAAAAAUGGGCAUGUUCGGGGUGCGCUCAGUAGGUUUAGACGGUUUUGGGCGUAUCUCAUGAUCCGGGCAUCCGAUUCCGUUUCCGUCAGGUCCCACGGGACCAGGGGUCCGGGGGCAUCGGGAUGGGGGGGUAGCCGCGCGGCGGUUUGAACGCCGAAAAACGGGCAUGAUCGGGGCGGUUUUGCCGGUUUGGCCGGUUUCGGCCCGUCGGGGGGCGGUUCAUGCCCCGGGGGGGACCACGGGGCGGGAUCGGGAGGCGGCGGACGCGUUCGGUGGGGUUCGGGCAGGUGCUGCCGGAUGGGGGGUGGCCCGGGGGGCUAUAGCGCACGUCGUCGGGGGCCGCAAAGAAGGGGCCGUAACAUCAUGAUCCGGGCCUCCGAAUUCCGUUUCCGUACGGGUCCCGCGGGACCAGGGUUCCGGGGGCAUCGGGAUGGGGGGGUAGCCGCGCGGCGGUUUGAACGCCGAAAAAUGGGCAUGUUCGGGGUGCGCUCAGUAGGUUUUGACGGUUUUGGGCGUAUCUCAUGAUCCGGGCAUCCGAUUCCGUUUCCGUCAGGUCCCACGGGACCAGGGGUCCGGGGGCAUCGGGAUGGGGGGGUAGCCGCGCGGCGGUUUGAACGCCGAAAAACGGGCAUGAUCGGGGCGGUUUUGCCGGUUUGGCCGGUUUCGGCCCGCCGGGGGGCGGUUCAUGCCCCGGGGGGGACCGCGGGGCGGGAUCGGGAUGCGGGGGACGCGUUCGGUGGGGUUCGGGCGGGAGCGGCCGGAUGGGGGGUGGCCCGGGGGGCUAUAGCGCACGUCGUCGGGGGCCGCAAAGAAGGGGCCGUAACUCAUGAUCCGGGCCUCCGAUUCCGUUUCCGUCGGGUCCCGCGGGACCAGGGUUCCGGGGGCAUCGGGAUGGGGGGGUAGCCGCGCGGCGGUUUGAACGCCGAAAAAUGGGCAUGUUCGGGGUGCGCUCAGUAGGUUUUGACGGUUUUGGGCGUAUCUCAUGAUCCGGGCAUCCGAUUCCGUUUCCGUCAGGUCCCACGGGACCAGGGGUCCGGGGGCAUCAGGAUGGGGGGGUAGCCGCGCGGCGGUUUGAACGCCGAAAAACGGCCAUGAUCGGGGCGGUUUUGCCGGUUUGGCCGGUUUCGGCCCGCCGGGGGGCGGUUCAUGCCCCGGGGGGGACCGCGGGGCGGGAUCGGGAGGCGGCGGACGCGUUCGGUGGGGUUCGGGCGGGUGCGGCCGGAUGGGGGGUGGCCCGGGGGGCUAUAGCGCACGUCCUCGGGGGCCGCAAAGAAGGGGCCGUAACUCAUGAUCCGGGCCUCCGAUUCCGUUUCCGUCGGGUCCCGUGGGACCAGGGUUCCGGGGGAUCGGGAUGGGGGGGUAGCCGCGCGGCGGUUUGAACGCCGAAAAAUGGGCAUGUUCGGGGUGCGCUCAGUAGGUUUAGACGGUUUUGGGCGUAUCUCAUGAUCCGAGCAUCCGAUUCCGUUUCCGUCAGGUCCCACGGGACCAGGGGUCCGGGGGCAUCGGGAUGGAGGGGUAGCCGUGCGGCGGUUUGAACGCCGAAAAAUGGGCAUGAUCGGGGCGGUUUAGCCGGUUUGGCCGGUUUCGGCCUGCCGGGGGGCGGUUCAUGCCCCGGGGGGGACCGCAGGGCGGGAUCGGGAGGCGGCGGACGCGUUCGGUGGGGUUCGGGCGGGUGCGGCCGGAUGGGGGGUGGCCCGGGGGGCGAUAGCGCACGUCCUCGGGGGCCGCAAAGAAGGGGCCGUAACUCAUGAUCCGGGCCUCCGAUUCCGUUUCCGUCGGGUCCCGCGGGACCAGGGUUCCGGGGGCAUCGGGAUGGGGGGGUAGCCGCGCGGCGGUUUGAACGCCGAAAAAUGGGCAUGUUCGGGGUGCGCUCAGUAGGUUUAGACGGUUUUGGGCGUAUCUCAUGAUCCGAGCAUCCGAUUCCGUUUCCGUCAGGUCCCACGGGACCAGGGGUCCGGGGGCAUCGGGAUGGGGGGGUAGCCGUGCGGCGGUUUUAACGCCGAAAAAUGGGCAUGAUCGGGGCGGUUUAGCCGGUUUGGCCGGUUUCGGCCCGCCGGGGGCCGGUUCAAGCCCCGGGGGGGACCGCGGGGCGGGAUCGGGAGGCGGCGGACGCGUUCGGUGGGGUUCGGGCGGGUGCGGCCGGAUGGGGGGUGGCCCGGGGGGCUAUAGCGCACGUCCUCGGGGGCCGCAAAGAAGGGGCCGUAACUCAUGAUCCGGGCCUCCGAUUCCGUUUCCGUCGGGUCCCGCGGGACCAGGGUUCCGGGGGCAUCGGGAUGGGGGGGUAGCCGCGCGGCGGUUUGAACGCCGAAAAAUGGGAAUGUUCGGGGUGCGCUCAGUAGGUUUAGACGGUUUUGGGCGUAUCUCAUGAUCCGAGCAUCCGAUUCCGUUUCCGUCAGGUCCCACGGGACCAGGGGUCCGGGGGCAUCGGGAUGGGGGGGUAGCCGUGCGGCGGUUUGAACGCCGAAAAAUGGGCAUGAUCGGGGCGGUUUAGCCGGUUUGGCCGGUUUCGGCCCGCCGGGGGGCGGUUCAUGCCCCGGGGGGGACCGCGGGGCGGGAUCGGGAGGCGGCGGACGCGUUCGGUGGGGUUCGGGCGGGUGCGGCCGGAUGGGGGGUGGCCCGGGGGGCUAUAGCGCACGUCCUCGGGGGCCGCAAAGAAGGGGCCGUAACUCAUGAUCCGGGCCUCCGAUUCCGUUUCCGUCGGGUCCCGCGGGACCAGGGUUCCGGUGGCAUCGGGAUGGGGGGGUAGCCGCGCGGCGGUUUGAACGCCGAAAAAUGGGCAUGUUCGGGGUGCGCUCAGUAGGUUUAGACGGUUUUGGGCGUAUCUCAUGAUCCGAGCAUCCGAUUCCGUUUCCGUCAGGUCCCACGGGACCAGGGGUCCGGGGGCAUCGGGAUGGGGGGGUAGCCGUGCGGCGGUUUGAACGCCGAAAAAUGGGCAUGAUCGGGGCGGUUUAGCCGGUUUGGCCGGUUUCGGCCCGCCGGGGGCCGGUUCAUGCCCCGGGGGGGACCGCGGGGCGGGAUCGGGAGGCGGCGGACGCGUUCGGUGGGGUUCGGGCGGGUGCGGCCGGAUGGGGGGUGGCCCGGGGGGCUAUAGCGCACGUCCUCGGGGGCCGCAAAGAAGGGGCCGUAACUCAUGAUCCGGGCCUCCGAUUCCGUUUCCGUCGGGUCCCGCGGGACCAGGGUUCCGGGGGCAUCGGGAUGGGGGGGUAGCCGCGCGGCGGUUUGAACGCCGAAAAAUGGGCAUGUUCGGGGUGCGCUCAGUAGGUUUAGACGGUUUUGGGCGUAUCUCAUGAUCCGAGCAUCCGAUUCCGUUUCCGUCAGGUCCCACGGGACCAGGGGUCCGGGGGCAUCGGGAUGGGGGGGUAGCCGUGCGGCGGUUUGAACGCCGAAAAAUGGGCAUGAUCGGGGCGGUUUAGCCGGUUUGGCCGGUUUCGGCCCGCCGGGGGCCGGUUCAUGCCCCGAAGGGGACCGCGGGGCGGGAUCGGGAGGCGGCGGACGCGUUCGGUGGGGUUCGGGCGGGUGCGGCCGGAUGGGGGGUGGCCCGGGGGGCUAUAGCGCACGUCCUCGGGGGCCGCAAAGAAGGGGCCGUAACUCAUGAUCCGGGCCUCCGAUUCCGUUUCCGUCGGGUCCCGCGGGACCAGGGUUCCGGGGGCGUCGGGAUGGGGGGGUAGCCGCGCGGCGGUUUGAACGCCGAAAAAUGGGCAUGAUCGGGGUGCGCUCAGU
rnacentral:lncRNA from 1 species